UUCUGCUAAAUCAACUGCUAUACCUGUUAGGAUGAUCUCCACCGUGUGGGCCCAACGGCCCACCGGGCCCUUAGAUCCGCGCCCUGAUCGGGGGCGCUCAGCCCAUUAUGGGUGACGGGUCCCUGUCACCUGCAUUAUAUAAAGAGGUGGGGGACGGCGGCUCGCAUUAUGAGGUUCGUCGCGAUGCCGUACACCCCACCUACAUCCCCUACCGAUCUAGGGUUAGUGCGGUGCUGAUGGGAAGCGCCGCCACCACUUCUCCCACGAUCUGCCAUCACCACUGCCGCCAUUCACCAUGGCCAACCCAUCGGGCUCAUCAAUCCAAGGAAAAGGUAAAGACUACUGUGAAUCCUUAACCCUAACCGAUCCAGAGGACUCAACAAUACCAAGUUACAUAGAGUUUAUAGCAUUUGGAUCAAUUUAGACGAUUUUGUCCACAUUGUGUAACAAAAUAUACUAAAUCUUUGAGAGCAAUAUAUAAACUACUGUGUGAUUGGUCGGCAGAAAAAACAAUGAAGAUAACCAUUGCACAUCGGGUCUGCAAUUAUUUCAGUUCUUAAAUCUCAUAGGAACAUCAUUGUGGCUGUACUUCUCUGUGAUUUCACUCCUACCGCCAAGCAAAUUGAGUAAGACAAGUCGGCUAGAACGCAUGUUUUUUGAAGAAGAGGAGUGUAGCUGAUCUCCCCCCUCUGAUUCCCAUUACCAGAGACCAACCAAGUUCCUUACAGCCAAACGAAAACCGAAGAAA